UACGGAGGGUGCGAGCGUUAUCCGGAUUUACUGGGUUUAAAGGGUGCGUAGGUGGGUAAGUAAGUCAGUGGUGAAAUCUUCGAGCUUAACUCGGAAACUGCCAUUGAUACUAUUUAUCUUGAAUACUUUGGAGGUAAGCGGAAUAUGUCAUGUAGCGGUGAAAUGCUUAGAUAUGACAUAGAACACCAAUUGCGAAGGCAGCUUACUACACAGUUAUUGACACUGAGGCACGAAAGCGUGGGGAUCAAACAGG
rnacentral:rRNA from 1 species